AAGGCCCCAGGGCACUGCGUUUGAGCCUGUCGGGGCUUGGUGUGGUUCCAGGUAUGGCAGGAAUGCUGGGGAUGAGCGGGCAUGUGGCUCCAGCCUGCCCUCCCCUUGCCCCAUCUUGGCACUGUGGCGGCUGGCAGCUGGGUUCCCAAUCAGGCACUGAGAGGCUAUGUGUUCCUUUGUCAUAGGGCAUGUCCACCUCUGGUGUGUGUUUAGCCCCAGGCAAAUCUUGAACUAAGUCUCAGUGUCCCGGGAAGAAGAGCACUGGACUCAGAAGUAGAAGAAAUGCGGCCGAGCAUGGUGGCUCAUGCCUGCAAUCCCAGCACUUUGGUAGGCUGAGGCGGGUGGAUCACCUGAGGUAGGAGUUCGAGACCAGCCUGACCAACAUGGUGAAAUCCUGUCUCUACGAAAAAUACUAAAAUUAGCCCGGCAUGGUGGCACAUGCCUGUAGUCCCAGCUAGUCGGGCAGCUGAGGCAGGAGAAUCGCUUGAACACAGGAGGUGGAGGUUAGAGUGAGCCGAGAUAGCACCACUGCACUCCAGCCUGGGUGACAGAGCAAGACUCUGGCUCACAAAAAACCAAACCAAAACAAAACAAAAGAUAUAGAAGAAAUGGGCCCUAGUCUCAUUCACAAGUCACCUUGGGUGAGCCGUUUCAGAGCGUGGGUUCCUCUGAUAGAAAGUUUACAUUUUCAUAUACGUCUUGUGGUUUCUGAAGGGAAGUUAAAUAAGAGAAUAUGUGUGUGAAAAUACUUUGCCUACUCAAAUAAUAAUAUCAGUGAUCAUAGAGGUUUUUGUUUUUUUUUCUCCCCAGGGCUCCGUAUUCUCCUACUAUCUGCCUACUGCCUUUCCAGAUCCUCCCUUAAAAUGCUUUGCUCAAACCUGUUACAUCUUCAAGUUUUUUCAGCUUUCUUGUCGCAGGCUCCAUUCCUAAUUCAUGCACAUAAUCUGCCAUGUGCCGACACAGGCACACACUCAUUCAACUUGUCCCAUAAUCUUUAGGGUCUUGCUCCCAGUUACUUAGCCUGAAGAGUAGCCUGACAAUAUUUUCAGAGCUACUGAUGGGUUGACGUAACCCAAGACUACCUGUGGUAGAGAAUACUGCAGACUAGGGUUUGGCCAAUUUUUUUCAGUCAGGGGCCAGGUGACUAGGACAGAGUUUUGGAGCAGAUGAGGGUUUUGAUGCCCCUUCUCUUCCGCCCUUCCAUGACUGAGUGUCUCAACCUGGAGGUGUGGAUGGGGCUGUGUAGAGGCUCCCUGAGGAACGCAGGCGGGUUUUGAGCUGUUGAUUGGCCUGAGGUGGCUUGAAGGAUGGAAAUUUACAAGUUGGCCGAGAGCCUUCUCUCUGCCAAGGACUGAUUCAGAGUUCAGGGAUUAAGCCUCUGGCAUGGGGAUUAAAUUGGGAUCUCACAUGCACAGAUCCCAUGGGCACCAGACGCUGGGCUGGAUCUGGCACACGCACUGUUGGCUCUGAGAAGCUCCUCAACCCCUUGUGGGCAUCAAAGUGAAGAAAGAAGUGAGUGGUCCCCCUUUUCUGCAUUUAGCCUUGACCUGAGAUGAGAACAUUCAUUGGAAACAACCAAGAAGCAUGAACGAAUUUCUUCCCAAGGCCAAGAGUGAUGAAAUGGCUGAGUGUUAAAUUUUCAGUAGGGAUACAGAGAAACAUGGGCACAAAACUCAGUUUCAUCCCCACGGCUCUGUUCCACUGGCUGUAUCACGCUGAUUCCUGUGGGCCUGGAAAAUGUUCCCCACUUUCCGAAGAGCUGUGUCUUUGCUCAACAUCCACAUCCCAGCAAACGGGAUCCAUUUCAAAAGAGGCUUUUGAUUACUCAUUGUCAUUUUUGAACCUCUUGUUGCUGUCAGUCAUCAGUAAACAGUGCUCUUAGAAAAGCCCUAAGUAGGAGAGGUUGAAGACGAUGCCUCUGGGCUGGCACAGCUUUUUGUUUUGCACAUGUGGAAAUUGAGACUGGGAGUGGAAGGUGAGCAGUUGAGAGUUAAACAACUAAUUCGAAGUGAAUUGAGAACUGGAGUCCAGUCCUCUGGGCUUCUGUUCCAGUGUUCAUGAGACAGAACGAAACUGCUACUCUGUAAUGAUAAGGGUCAUGGGGUUACAGGCACCAGUGGUUGAUCUGAAACUGUAUCACAGAAAGAAAAAGAAUUUGUUUUUGCUUUUUGGCCUUGAGAGGUAAAGAAGUUUUUCCCACCUCUUGUAGAUCUAACCUCAUCAAAUCAUACAAAAUCAAUUUUUGUUUACUUGCAUGGAGAUUGUCUUUUCAUACUCAUGUAUCAGUCAGCAUAGGCUGAGUUACAUUGUGGUAACAAAUGACCCCCAAAACUUAGUGAUUUUCAAACACAAAGUUGGAUUUUUCACUCCUGCUAUAUGUGUGUUGGAAGUUGCUGAGUUUCUGCUGCUUAUCUCCUUACUCCAGGACUGAGGUGGACAGAACUCUCUCAAUUUCAGGGUUGGGAAAUUGUGAGCUGUGGCAGAAUCUGGCCUGCUAUUGUUUUUGUUAAUCAAGUUUUAUCAAAAGAUAGACAUGGUUAUUUGUUUAUGUACCAUUUUCACACCACCACAACAAGAUUAAGUUGUCAUAAUAGAGGCAGUAUGGCCCCCAAUGAGGAUAAUCUUUACUUUCUGACCUUUUACAGAGCAAAUUGGCUGAUCCCUGGUGUAUCUGAAACAUGGUGAUCUGUGGCAGAAGGAAACGAGACAGAGCAAACUGCAGGCUGGUUCUCAAAACUUCUGCCCAGAAGUGACACAUGGUCGUUUCUACUCACAUUUCUUGCACUAAAGCAAGACAUGUGACAUGUGGCACCUCUUGAUGCCAACAAAAAACGGGCAGGAAAUCAGCUGAUUCCAACAUAAUUUGUAUUUUAUUUGUAUCUGUGUCUGUAUUCUUGGUUGCAAACAACAGAAAUGUACUGUGUUUAAUUUAAAGAGAAGGAAGAUUAUGUAAAGGUUACCAGGGAAUCAUGCACUUGAGAGGAAGGCUGAAGAAGGGGCCUCUGUGGGGUGCAAGGACACAGAGCCACAGUCCCACUGGAGGGACGGCCUCCAUGAGCUUGCCCUCUGGCAUUGCCAGCAGUGACCCUUCUCCACAGCACUGCUUGUAUCUCUGAAGCCACUGACACCUUCAGCAGGGAGCCUGGAAGGAUCAGAAGAAGAUGGGAGAACUUCCUUCCUGCUGGUCACUUAGGAGCCAGAAUGACCUUCGUUACCUGGACUUUUCCUUUUCUCCUCCUCAUCAUUGUUCCAUCCCCACUAAGACCUCCAUUAUUUUGGAAAUAUUAAGUUAGAAAUCUAGUCAUGGCCAGCAUGAGAGAGGGACAGGGAUGUAUACAGGAAUCAAACUGAAUACAUUUUGUGUUUUCAUUCCCCGUAGGUACUUCUGCUGGUGUCAAUCAUUGGGACUGGAUUAUAUCUAAGCAUCUUCAACCUCACAGGGAGGAGCUUGACCAGAGAAAGAGGCUGAGAGCUACUUCUCUUACCAAGGAGCUUCCCUAAGCCAGGCAUCUCCGGAGAUGGUGUGGAGCCUGGGGUAGCUUGGCCAGGCCUUUGAUCACUGGUGAUGCCAUUGCUCUUCCCCAUUUCACGUCUGCUGUGGCUUGCUGCUGAGGCUGCUUUCAGACCUCUGGAAUCAGAAAAGGAGGUGACUAUAUCAGGCAGCCCACAUUUGCGUUUUGUAAGAAUACUUUUCAUGCUCGAUUCUUUAAAAUGGUCCCCCCAAAUAUACAUCACCUUGAUCCCUAUUCCAUGUACUAUACAUGACUAAAGUUUUUGCCCUUCAUCCCCACUCUAAAGGUGAUUUAUUUUUGUUGAUGACAAAUGAGAUAUUUUGGUUUGUCAUUGUCUACUUCAUAAAAAAAAGAAUGUUAUUACUAAUAAAUUUAAAUUCACAAUUUUACUUCAUUUAAAAAAUGGCCCGUAUUCAGUAAAUCAUCAUAUUUCACUGAUGGAGGUAGCUGAGGGAUUAUCACGUCU